AGAGUUUGAUUCUGGCUCAGGAUGAACGCUAGCGGCAGGCCUAAUACAUGCAAGUCGAGGGGCAGCAGGGGUAGCAAUACUCGCUGGCGACCGGCGCACGGGUGCGUAACACGUAUGCAACUUUCCUUCAACUGGAAGAUAGCCCGAAGAAAUUCGGAUUAAUAUUCCAUAGUUAUAUGAAAUGGCAUCAUUUUAUAUUUAAAGCUCAGGCGGUUGAAGAUGGCAUGCGUUCGAUUAGCUAGUUGGUGAGGUAAUGGCUCACCAAGGCUACGAUCGAUAGGGGAUCUGAGAGGAUUAACCCCCACACUGGUACUGAGACACGGACCAGACUCCUACGGGAGGCAGCAGUAAGGAAUAUUGGACAAUGGAGGCAACUCUGAUCCAGCCAUGCCGCGUGAAGGAUGAAGGUCCUAUGGAUUGUAAACUUCUUUUGAACGGGAGAAAACCUUCGGUCGUGUACCGAAGCUGAUAGUACCGUUAGAAUAAGGGUCGGCUAACUUCGUGCCAGCAGCCGCGGUAAUACGAAGGACCCGAGCGUUAUCCGGAUUUAUUGGGUUUAAAGGGUGCGUAGGCGGAAUGGUAAGUCAGUGGUGAAAUCUUGUGGCUUAACUGCAAAACUGCCAUUGAUACUGCCAAUCUUGAGUACAUUUGAUGUGGGCGGAAUGUGCCAUGUAGUGGUGAAAUACUUAGAUAUGGCACAGAACACCGAUCGCGAAGGCAGCUCACAAAACUGUUACUGACGCUGAGGCACGAAAGCGUGGGGAUCAAACAGGAUUAGAUACCCUGGUAGUCCACGCCUUAAACUAUGAUUACUCGAUGUGUGCGAUACACAGUACGCGUCUAAGCGAAAGCGUUAAGUAAUCCACCUAGGGAGUACGGUCGCAAGAUUGAAACUCAAAGAAAUUGACGGGGGCCCGCACAAGCGGAGGAGCAUGUGGUUUAAUUCGAUGAUACGCGAGGAACCUUACCUGGGCUUGAAAGUUAGUGAAUGCUGUGGAAACAUGGCAGGCCGCAAGGACACGAAACUAGGUGCUGCAUGGCUGUCGUCAGCUCGUGCCGUGAGGUGUUGGGUUAAGUCCCGCAACGAGCGCAACCCCUAUCUUUAGUUGCCAGCGAGUAAUGUCGGGGACUCUAAAGAAACUGCCCGUGCAAACGGUGAGGAAGGUGGGGAUGACGUCAAGUCAGCACGGCCCUUACGUCCAGGGCUACACACGUGCUACAAUGGCGAGUACAAAGGGCAGCUACAUGGUGACAUGAUGCUAAUCUCUAAAACUCGUCUCAGUCCGGAUUGAAGUCUGCAAUUCGACUUCAUGAAGCUGGAUUCGCUAGUAAUCGAAUAUCAGCAAUGAUUCGGUGAAUACGUUCCCGGGCC
rnacentral:rRNA from 1 species